AACUCUGCACGUGCUUCCUCAGUGUCACCACAAGUACAUCUGCAGCACAUCCUGGGAGGCCACAUUUGGUGGUCGAAGAAGAUAAAUCUAGACGUCAUUGGACCCGGAGGAAUUAAAGAUUUUACUGAGCAAACAAGUCACUGGCCGCUCAAGGAGAUUUGCCAGAGGGACUGUGCGACAGAUACACGGUCAAGGCAGAAAUGGAGUAAAACUGAGAAAAAACAAAGGCGGGAGCAGAUGGGCCUUCAUCUGGCUGAGCGCAGCUGCUGCUACAUUCUUA